rnacentral:lncRNA from 1 species
GUUGACGGUCCUUAAUGCUCACAUUUAACCAUCAACUAAUCAUGGAAAAGGAUCUAAAUGGAACCAACACCUAGACUUAGGGAUUUAUCUGACAGAAUUCCACGAGUUUUGGUGUUUGUCUAUUUCUGCAGGGGGUUAUCAAGAAAUAUGAAAGAAAGGCCCACACGUCGGGUUUACAUAGAGAUAUUAACGUGCCGCACAAUUUUCAACCAUC